rnacentral:rRNA from 1 species
UACGUAGGUGGCAAGCGUUGUCCGGAUUACUGGGCGUAAAGAGCGCGCAGGCGGUCGUUCAAGUCGCGUGUGAAAGCCCCCGGCUCAACUGGGGAGGGUCACGCGAUACUGAUCGACUCGAAGGCAGGAGAGGGAAGUGGAAUUCCCGGUGUAGUGGUGAAAUGCGUAGAUAUCGGGAGGAACACCAGUGGCGAAGGCGACUUCCUGGCCUGUUCUUGACGCUGAGGCGCGAAAGCUGGGGGAGCAAACGGGG